UACGGAGGGUGCAAGCGUUAUCCGGAUUUACUGGGUUUAAAGGGUGCGUAGGUGGAUUGGGUAGUCAGUGGUGAAAUACUUUCGCUUAACGAAGGAACUGCCAUUGAUACUCUCAAUCUUGAAUACAGUGGAGGCAGGCGGAAUGUGUCAUGUAGCGGUGAAAUGCUUAGAUAUGACAUAGAAUACCUAUUGCGAAGGCAGCUUACUACGCAGAUAUUGACGCUCAUGCACGAAAGCGUGGGGAUCAAACAGGA
rnacentral:rRNA from 1 species